CCCAUUCCCUCCCAUAAGUGAAAAUUUUAGACAUAAAUGAAUAAAGCAAAAAGCCCUCAUUUGUCGAAGUUUAGGAGUUGACGUCGCCUCUGCCCAACUUAUUUCUCUCUCACCAUAACCGACAACCAUUCCAGGUAGUCCAAUGUUUCAUUGGGAUUUCAAGUAGUUCCAAUUUUUGGUUCAGUUAAGAAGAUUAUUCUUAGCCACUUUUGCGUAGCACGACACAUUUGGCCUUCUAGUCAGAGAAAGAGACAUAAAGCUGUGGAAAAAGAUAGUAUUCUUCUCCAUAAAACAGCACCUACAAGGUAUUUCUUCUUUCCUUAUUCUUUGUAUGUGAUUUCCGAGCAUUGGACGACAAGUUUGGUUAAGCAUCAUUGGUUGUUUCAAGUCUCUCUAGUCAUAUAUGUGGAUUUUUCUUUGUGUGAUGUUCUUUUGGUUAAGUACUUUUGUGUUAUCUUUAUUUCUGCUCAAUAAUUCGUAUCAUUUUCCCCGUAUUAACUCUCUACUCUGAACUCAAUUUGUAUAUACAAGGGAGGCCUUUCCUUAGAGUGCAAGAGUGGUGAUGUAUAACUAGUUACUAGAUUCAAGUUCUGUUUUUUCUUUAUGUUGUUAUCCCUUUUAAAUGUUUGAGAAAGAACUGGGGUUGAUAUUGUUAAGUA